GUGGUAUACAACCAUUAAGCCGUGUCUUUAGCUUUCUUCUGGCAUUUGCAAGGCCAAGAUGAUAAGCAUGUUAAUAAGGUAUCUCUCACUCCACCAAUCCCCAGAGGACAAGUUUACAGCCGCUGUCUGUUUUGUACUUAAGGCGAGUGCCUUUGUUCCCCGGGGUCUCCCGAAUCAACAAUGAGGUGUUCCUGCAAUAAAGGCUGUUAAAGAAGAAUCCAAUGGUGUCGUGUCUUCCUUGCUGGUCGAGGUGGGUGCUUCAACUGGUGGCCAAAGUACGGGGACCUGAGAAAAUUAUCUUUUCUCGUUUGGAUUCAGAACUUUUUUCAGCCUCAGGACGGUCGACAUCGAAUCAAGACAAUCCAAUCUGGGUGCCUGAACGUUUGACUCGCAAACUGCCUCCUGCUAUUCGUGAAGAUGAGACUACGAACCCUACUAUUACUACUGGGAAUGGUAAUCCAGGUUGAUUCACUCACGCUGUGGGCUAUUGCCAGAUCCUGGCCAGUACUUAUGCCAGUUCAUAGCAAUUCUACUGUCUUGCCAACCUUUUUCUCCACAUCCUGUUUGCGUGAUGUUCCUUGUAUAGUGCCAAAUGGAGAAUUGCCCCAACGGUAUACUGCCACUAAUCUUUCUUUAUUACAUACAUUAUGUUUCACUCUUAAAAAUUCCUCCCAGCCUUGUAUAUGGCUGCGAAGGACCACAUUGGCUAAUUGGUUAGAUCCUAUGAGUGACAGUGCAAUGGGCACUGGAACCAUCCUGGCUGCUUUGAGUCAAAUUACCCAAAGAGCCUCUUCAAGCAGUGAAGACACGUCAAUCAAUAAUUCUGCUAAGUUGAACAUUACAACCUUGAUUAUGAUGCAUAAUUGUAGUUUUCCAUCACACCCGGGGCAAGGCAUUCACACACUGGAUAACUCUACUUGUCGUAGAGUCCUACCUACUUGCCCUCCAUAUCAAGCCUUUCCACCUAGUUUUACCCCAUGUCAGAGUCCAUUCCAUAGAGCAAAACAAUUCCUACCAGGAUUUGAAUUUUCCCCUCCUCUUGGCAAUGUACAGUAUGAUCGGGUAAAAAAUAAGACUAGCAAGCAUAAUUUUUGGCCCUGGUAUCAAUGGGCAUUAUCAAAUAAGCAGGGAGCAUAUACAUCUCUAAUUCCUUUUGCUCGAUUAUUAGGUGAAGAAUUUACAUUGUAUAAUAUUUCAGCCACAAGGACUACUAACAAAACAAGUUUAGUAAAUGUAAAGAUUAAUAGCCUUUUAGCAAAUGAUACUGCCAUUGGUGCUUCAGUAUGUGUUAGACCACCUUUCUUCUUUCUGAUAAGCACUAAUGUAAGUGAUAAUGCUUUAAAUUGUAAUAACUCGACCCUCAGAUUCCUGCCCGCAGCAGCUCGCUGCUCCCAAACCCUGUGGGAGAGAGAAAACACCACCUGGACAGAUAAGCACUCAUGAGACUGCAGAGCAGAAGAGACCACCAACACUGCCCACCCCUGCUCACAUCUCUGGCCCAACAGGAAACUUUAUACAGCCUCUGGGUUCCCUUAGAUAAGGGCACAGCGACAGCAGGUCCCCUGCAUCUGAGACACUGCCGGAAACUGAAGGGACUGACCAGAUAAAUAGUUCUCUGCACCCAAAUCCCGCGGGAGGGAGAGCUAAACCUUCAGAGAGGCAGACACGCCUGGUAAACCAGAAGAGACUGCACUCUGCAUACACUACUGAUUCGGGAGGAAAACACCAAAUGCCAUCUGGAACCCUGGUGCACGGAAGCUCCCGGAAAGGGUGGCACAGAACUUCCUGGUGGCUGCCCCCACGGAGAGCUCAUAAGCAACACCCCACGAGCAAACUUGAGCCUCUGGACUACAGGUAAGACAAACCUUCCUGCUCCAAGCGACCUGCCUAGUGGACUCAGGACACAGGCCCACAGGAACAGCUGAAGACCUGUAGAUAAGAAAAACUACACGCCUGAAAGGAGAACACUCUGUUCCCAUAACUGGCUGAAAGAAAACAGGAAAACAGGUCUACAGCACCCCUGACACACAGGCUUAUAGGACAGUCUAGCCACUGUCAGAAAUAGAAGAACAAAGUAACACAAGAGAUAAUCUGAUGGCAAGAGGCAAACGCAGGAUUCCAAGCAAGAGAAACCAAGACUACAUGGCAACAUUGGAGCCCAACUCUCCCACCAAAGCAAAUACGGAAUAUCCAAACACACCAGAAAAGCAAGAUCUAGUUUCAAAAUCAUAUUUGAUCAUGAUGCUGGAGGACUUGAAGAAAGACGUGAAGAACUCCCUUAGAGAAACACAGGAAAACAUAAAUAAACAAGUAGAAGCCUAUAGAGAGGAAUCACAAAAAUCCCUGAAAGAAUUCCAGGAAAACACAAUCAAACAGUAGAAGGAAUUAAAAAUGGAAAUAGAAGCAAUCAAGAAAGAACACAUGGAAACAAACCUGGAUAUAGAAAACCAAAAGAAGAGACAAGGAGCCAUAGAUACAUGCUUCACCAACAGAAUACAAGAGAUGGAAGAGAGAAUCUCAGGAGCAGAAGAUUCCAUAGAAAUCAUCGACUCAACUAUCAAAGAUAAUGUAAAGCGGAAAAAGCUACUGAUCCAAAACAUACAGGAAAUCCAGGACUCAAUGAGAAGAUCAAACCUAAGGAUAAUAGGUAUAGAAGAGAGUGAAGACUACCAGCUCAAAGGACCAGUAAAUAUCUUCAACAAAAUCAUAGAAGAAAACUUCCCUAACCUAAAAAAAGAGCAUACAAGAAGCCUACAGAACUCCAAAUAGAUUGGACCAGAAAAGAAACUCCUCCCAUCACAUAAUAGUCAAAACACCAAAUGCACAAAAUAAAGAAAGAAUAUUAAAAGCAGUAAGGAAAAAGGACAAGUAACAUAUAAAGGCAGACCUAUCAGAAUCACACCAGACUUUUCACCAGAGAUUAUGAAAGCCAGAAGAUCCUGGACAGAUAUCAUACAGACCCUAAGACAACACAAAUGCCAGCCCAGGUUACUGUAUCCUGCAAAACUCUCAAUUAACAUAGAUGGAGAAACCAAGAUAUUCCAUGAUAAAACCAAAUUUACAAAAUAUCUUUGUACAAAUCCAAAUACAAAAGGAUACAAAGGAUAAUAAAUGGUAAAGCCCAACAUAAGGAGGCAAGCUACACCCUAGAAGAAACAAGAAACUAAUCGUCUUGGCAACAAAACAAAGAGAAGAAAAGCACACAAACAUAACCUCAUAUCCAAAUAUGAAUAUAACAGAAAGCAAUAAUCACUAUUUCUUAAUAUCUCUCAACAUCAAUGGCCUCAACUCCCCAAUAAAAAGACAUAGAUUAACAAACUGGAUACACAACGAGGACCCUGCUUUCUGCUGCCUACAGGAAACACACCUCAGAGACAAAGACAG
ensembl:lncRNA